rnacentral:lncRNA from 1 species
GAGAUUGAAGAUGGGCUGGAGGGAAAGCUUUUACUUUUUAUUUGACAUUCUUCUGUAAGUUGGAAUUAUUUGAUACACUUUAUGCAACCAAUACCAGUAUGUGGCGUGUUUGGGGGUUUUUUAAGCAGCUCUGGAAGAGCAGAGGAGAGGGAGCUUGGUGGCACAGCAGCAGCAGCAGCAGGAGCUCUGGAAAGGGCAGGACCUUGUGCGCUGCCCUGAUUUGCUCUGUGCACUUGGGCCAGCUACCUCCCCUAUCUGGACCAGGGCCAGACACAUGCUGCUAUGUGUGUUGGUGGAGGUGGGGUGUGUGGCCAUGCAGGGCUCCUCCGGAGCACAGCAGAGCAGCCGGUGUUUAAGGCACCAGAAUUACCAGAAAGUUGUUGACAUUUUAAUGGAAAGGCAAUGGAGGAAGCAGUGUGAAAGUCAGCCUGCUCAGGAGGGG